UCGGGUGUAAACCUCUUUUAGUAGGGAAGAAGCGAAAGUGACGGUACCUGCAGAAAAAGCACGGGCUAACUACGUGCCAGCAGCCGCGGUAAUACGUAGGGUGCAAGCGUUGUCCGGAAUUAUUGGGCGUAAAGAGCUCGUAGGCGGUUUGUCGCGUCUGCUGUGAAAACCCGAGGCUCAACCUCGGGCUGCAGUGGGUACGGGCAGACUAGAGUGCGGUAGGGGAGAUUGGAAUUCCUGGUGUAGCGGUGGAAUGCGCAGAUAUCAGGAGGAACACCGAUGGCGAAGGCAGAUCUCUGGGCCGUAACUGACGCUGAGGAGCGAAAGCAUGGGGAGCGAACAGGAUUAGAUACCCUGGUAGUCCAUGCCGUAAACGUCGGGAACUAGAUGUGGGGACCAUUCCACGGUCUCCGUGUCGCAGCUAACGCAUUAAGUUCCCCGCCUGGGGAGUACGGCCGCAAGGCUAAAACUCAAAGGAAUUGACGGGGGCCCGCACAAGCGGCGGAGCAUGCGGAUUAAUUCGAUGCAACGCGAAGAACCUUACCAAGACUUGACAUAUACGAGAACGGGCCAGAAAUGGUCAACUCUUUGGACACUCGUAAACAGGUGGUGCAUGGUUGUCGUCAGCUCGUGUCGUGAGAUGUUGGGUUAAGUCCCGCAACGAGCGCAACCCUCGUCCUAUGUUGCCAGCACGUAAUGGUGGGAACUCAUGGGAUACUGCCGGGGUCAACUCGGAGGAAGGUGGGGAUGACGUCAAAUCAUCAUGCCCCUUAUGUCUUGGGCUUCACGCAUGCUACAAUGGCCGGUACAAAGGGCUGCAAUACCGUAAGGUGGAGCGAAUCCCAAAAAGCCGGUCUCAGUUCGGAUUGAGGUCUGCAACUCGACCUCAUGAAGUCGGAGUCGCUAGUAAUCGCAGAUCAGCAACGCUGCGGUGAAUACGUUCCCGGGCCUUGUACACACCGCCCGUCAAGUCAUGAAAGUCGGUAACACCCGAAGCCAGUGGCCUAACCCGCAAGGGGAGGAGCUUCGAAGGUG
rnacentral:rRNA from 1 species